rnacentral:piRNA from 2 species
GCAGAACCCAGAAGUGAACAGCAGGCG